AGUGGCGCACACCCAUUUAUGCCCUUCACCUACUGUGUGUCACUUAGUGUCCGCCAUCACUCAUCGUGUUUGCUUGCAUUGACAACAUGUUAUGCUCUCACCUGUAUUUGCUUCUAGUGGAGCACUCAUAAACCACAAAACAUGUUGUUGUUCAACUAUCAUAGUAUCUCUCAGCAUGCCCACUCAUCACCCUUAUGUCAUGUGUAGUCAAUGUCGU
rnacentral:lncRNA from 1 species